rnacentral:rRNA from 1 species
UACAGAGGGUGCAAGCGUUGUUCGGAAUUAUUGGGCGUAAAGGGAGUGUAGGCUGUGAGGUAAGUCUUCUGUGAAAUCUACGGGCUUAGCCUGUAACGUGCAGAGGAAACUGCUUCGCUUGAGUGUCGGAGAGGAUAGGGGAAUACCCAGUGUAGAGGUGAAAUUCGUAGAUAUUUGGGAAGAACACCAGUGGCGAAGGCGACUAUCUGGACCGACAUUGACGCUGAGGCGCGAAAGCGUGGGGAGCAAACAGG